GUUCGGCGGCCGAAAGUCCCUCCAGAGCCGAAAGUCAAGCAGGUUCGGCGGCACCUUCGGCGGCCGAAGCUCCCAGACAGAGGCGAAACUCAUGCAUGUUCGGCGGCACUUUCGGCGGCUGAAACUCCCAGACAGAGACGAAAGUCUCCUUUCGGGGGCAGGCUUCGGCAGCCGAAAGGCUUGCCUCCCCAGCCAUGUUCGACGGCCGAAAGUCCUUCGGCUGCCGAACCU
rnacentral:lncRNA from 1 species